AUGAUCCCAGCUUGCUGGGGGAUUAGUGGCGAACGGGUGAGUAACACGUGAGUAACCUGCCCUUGACUCUGGGAUAAGCCUGGGAAACUGGGUCUAAUACCGGAUAUGACUCCUCAUCGCAUGGUGGGGGGUGGAAAGCUUUUUGUGGUUUUGGAUGGACUCGCGGCCUAUCAGCUUGUUGGUGGGGUAAUGGCUUACCAAGGCGAUGACGGGUAGCCGGCCUGAGAGGGUGACCGGCCACACUGGGACUGAGACACGGCCCAGACUCCUACGGGAGGCAGCAGUGGGGAAUAUUGCACAAUGGGCGCAAGCCUGAUGCAGCGACGCCGCGUGAGGGAUGACGGCCUUCGGGUUGUAAACCUCUUUCAGUAGGGAAGAAGCCGCAAGGUGACGGUACCUGCAGAAGAAGCGCCGGCUAACUACGUGCCAGCAGCCGCGGUAAUACGUAGGGCGCAAGCGUUAUCCGGAAUUAUUGGGCGUAAAGAGCUCGUAGGCGGUUUGUCGCGUCUGCUGUGAAAGACCGGGGCUCAACUCCGGUUCUGCAGUGGGUACGGGCAGACUAGAGUGCAGUAGGGGAGACUGGAAUUCCUGGUGUAGCGGUGAAAUGCGCAGAUAUCAGGAGGAACACCGAUGGCGAAGGCAGGUCUCUGGGCUGUAACUGACGCUGAGGAGCGAAAGCAUGGGGAGCGAACAGGAUUAG
rnacentral:rRNA from 2 species